ensembl:lncRNA
GCGGCGCGGACCAGGGAGUAGGAGAGCGGGCGGCGUGGACGGGGGCGACGGGGACCCCUGGAGCGGGAGCGCAGGCGAUGUGGAUGGGGGCAAGCGGGCGGCGUGGACCAGGGAGUAGGAAAGCGGGCAACGUGGACGGGAGAGCGGGCGGCCUGGACUGGACUGGGGAGUGGGAUAGUGGGCGGUGUGGACCCGAGAGUGGGGUAAGCGGGCGGCGUGGAUCCGGAUCCGCCCGGAGAAGCGGGCGUUCCGGCCCCCCUUUCUCCGUGCCAGAGGGGGCGUCUAGCGGCCACGCGCGGCCCCUUUCCUGGUGGCGCGGCCAGUCUGGCGACCCCGACGGCCACGUGCGGGCAGCUCACAGGGCCCAUUACCUUCCUUCUGGCGGCUACGUCGAGCCCUAAUUUCUCUUGGGGGGGUUAGGUGGGGGAGGGGGUCGAAUUUUUCCUGAAAUUGGGUCGGAGGUUUGCUGCCCGAUCAUAAUAAUUCCUGGAUGUAGCCGUUGGGCUUCUGCCACUCUUGGCCAUCCGUCUGGUCGGCUCGAUGAACGCUUCUAAGCGCUUAGUCCGACCCCCACCAAGUAGACGGAGGUCGGGCACCCGCCGGGAGUGACAGACCCGGGCGUUUGAAUCCAGGCGGAGUGGGCUCCUGAAAUCCGCGCCUUAACCUCCAGCGACGCUGCUGUGUGGAAAGUUCGGGAAAUGCCGCCGGGUGGCAAAAUUGAGUCUAGACUUCUGCCUGCCACUGUUUCUGCCUCCUCCCCACCUCCCACAUCCUGGUGUCCUGUGUCGCCUCCAUCAAAUAAAUGACGGUCAGCCCCUUCCAUGCGAUGUCCGUGCGGUUACAAAAUAGUAGAAAUAGAAGGCACUGGAGGGGUGGUUUGAUCUAGUCCUGUCGUCAGAUUCUGAGAAGUAAGCUGUCCUGUUCAUUCCUGCCUGCAAAAACCUCCAUUAAUAAAGUCAAGGAGAGGUGGCGAGCUGGCGGGGAAAUGAUUUGAAAUUGAUACCCGAGAGGCCUGUUUUCCUCAUACACGUGAAGCUCUUCAGAAUCAGUAAGAAAAAGACAAAUAACCCAAUGCAAACAAACGGAGUCCAUGGACAGUUCACAGAAAAGAAAAUACAGUGACUCCUAAGCCUAGGAGGAGCUGUUCGACUGUACUGUAAUGAGAGAGAAAGCAAAAUUGCAGCGAGAUAAUUUUUAUUACAUUAGCAAAGAUUUUUUUUUUAAAGUUGAAUAGCAUUUUUUUGGAAGAGACUGUAGAAAACCAGCUGCCUCAUCCUUUCCUAGUGGGAGAAUGAAUUGGAUUGCCUCCACUGGGGCCAUUUGUUAGUAUCCAGAGAAAUUCUAAAUGCACGCAGCUUUUGGCCCAACAGCCCCACAUGCAGGAAGUUAUGCUACAGCCGGACUCACUUGUAUGAAUUGGCGUAUGUAUAGGAGAGCACGUCCCUUGGGCGGGAGGCUGAGCUGCCAGAGAAGGAGCAUGGGGUGUGUUGUUCCCUGGGCCUCAUUUCUCUGCCCUCCCUAACAUUCUGCAGGGCUUCCCGGUUGCAAUUACAGGAGGUCUGAACCACAACCUUCCAGAACUUUCUUGAUCAUCUCACUUGUGCCCCCUCACCUCUGCCCUGCUUGGACCCCACCCAGCCUGCCUUCUGCUCCUCAGACACAUUCUUGAGAUCUUCUGUACUCGUUCCGUCUUCCCUGGAACUCUUUCCCAGGGUUUUCCACCACCAUCUUUUCAUCCUUCAGGUCUUUGCUGAAAUGUACCCCAACUCUCAAGAGCCCUAGGUGGACAACUACAGCUAAUGUGCAUCCCCCCCCCAUUUACACACCCACCUUCUAGUGACAUCCCUCACAAUUUCAAAUGCCCAGACAGCUGGUUCCCUGGGCCUCUGCGCACUAUCGGGACCAGCAUACAUCAACAAAAGCAGGCUGUCUACAGAAAAAAAUGACAGGGCACAGCGAGAGCACAGAAUACUAGACAGAAGGACAAAGAGAGAAAGGAGACAGAAGACCUCCACCCAGCUGAGGCCGUUUCUUAGAGUGAUAAGGGCAGCACGGGGCCGGGCUUCUGCUCACAGUGGUCAUCUCGGCUGCAAGAGAAUUCUCAGCGUGAGCAGUGUGGAUGCCUUCGACGAAGCCUGGAAAUAAUUUCCUUCAAGGCAG